rnacentral:rRNA from 1 species
AGAGUUUGAUCAUGGCUCAGAACAAACGCUGGCGGCGUGCCUAACACAUGCAAGUCGUACGAGAAAGUCCGCUUCGGUGGAUGAGUAAAGUGGCGCACGGGUGAGUAACGCGUGGAUAAUCUACCCUUUAGUCUGGAAUAACUUAUCGAAAGGUGAACUAAUACCGGAUAAUAUCCCGAUUUCUUCGGCGAUCGGGAUCAAAGAAGGCCUCUGCUUGCAAGCUUUCACUGAAGGAUGAGUCCGCGUACCAUUAGCUAGUUGGCAGGGUAAUGGCCUACCAAGGUUAUGAUGGUUAGCUGGUCUGAGAGGAUGAUCAGCCACACUGGAACUGAAACACGGUCCAGACUCCUACGGGAGGCAGCAGUGAGGAAUAUUGCGCAAUGGGGGCAACCCUGACGCAGCAACGCCGCGUGAGUGAGGAAGGUUUUCGGAUUGUAAAGCUCUGUCGAGCGGAAAGAAGUGCAUGGUGGUUAAUAUCCAUCAUGCUUGACGGUACCGCUAAAGGAAGCACCGGCUAACUCCGUGCCAGCAGCCGCGGUAAUACGGGGGGUGCAAGCGUUGUUCGGAAUCAUUGGGCGUAAAGCGCGUGUAGGCGGCUGGACAAGUCAGAUGUGAAAGCCCUGGGGCUUAACCCAGGAAGUGCAUUUGAAACUGUUCAGCUAGAGUAAGGGAGAGGAAAGUGGAAUUCCUGGUGUAGAGUGAAAUUCGUAGAUAUCAGGAGGAACACCGGUGGCGAAGCGACUUUCUGGCCCUAUACUGACGCUGAGACGCGAAAGCGUGGGUAGCAGACAGGAUUAGAUACCCUGAUAGUCCACGCUGUAAACGAUGUUCACUAGGUGUUGGGGUAUUGACCCUUCCAGUGCGCAGCUAACGCAUUAGUGAACGCCUGGGGGUACGAGUGCAAGAUAAAACUCAAAUGAAUUGACG